AAAUUGAAGAGUUUGAUCAUGGCUCAGAUUGAACGCUGGCGGCAGGCCUAACACAUGCAAGUCGAACGGUAACAGGAAGAAGCUUGCUUCUUUGCUGACGAGUGGCGGACGGGUGAGUAAUGUCUGGGAAACUGCCUGAUGGAGGGGGAUAACUACUGGAAACGGUAGCUAAUACCGCAUAACGUCGCAAGACCAAAGAGGGGGACCUUCGGGCCUCUUGCCAUCGGAUGUGCCCAGAUGGGAUUAGCUAGUAGGUGGGGUAACGGCUCACCUAGGCGACGAUCCCUAGCUGGUCUGAGAGGAUGACCAGCCACACUGGAACUGAGACACGGUCCAGACUCCUACGGGAGGCAGCAGUGGGGAAUAUUGCACAAUGGGCGCAAGCCGAUGCAGCCAUGCCGCGUGUAUGAAGAAGGCCUUCGGGUUGUAA
rnacentral:rRNA from 1 species